AUCCAUUCUGAGUAAAUCAGUACAAGAAAAAGAUGACAUUCAAAAGCACCUCAACCUCCUAAAGGAAAGGCUUCUAAGACAUUACAAGACCCUGAAGGUGCCUAUUGGGAAGCUAAGCAACCUGAAAAAUGUGCUGAGUCUUAAGGUGGCAGAGAAACAGAAUCUCUCAUCCAAUGAAGAGGCUAUGGCCCUACUACAGG